AUAAUUUUACUCUAUAGAUUACAGGAGAGAGAAUUAUAGAAGACAGAGAAAUGGAUACUAUCGUUUAUGUUAAUCUCAAACUCCACCAACAUCUAGAGGUCCAAGUUGAAGUAUAUAUUAAACUAUAUGAGAGUAUCAGGACCCACGCAGUUGCUGUCAAGAUCAUCAUGAGGUGAACGGACAAGCCAACAUAACAACAAAAAUAUGUCUGAUACACAAUCUUCGUCAAUAGGAAACAACAAAAAGUUGCUGAACAUCACGUCUAGGCACCAUAACCAGUGCACGGCAUUAUUGUGGUUAUGGUAUCCUCAAGCUUUGGGCACCGUCACCUAGUUCUUAGUCAAACACUUUCUAAAUAGUUUGACCAAACCCGAGGGUCCUGAUCACAGCCCAGCAUAUAGCAAGCAAUUUGAUAAACCUCACCCAGCAGUCUGCUAUGAUAUUGCUUAUGCUGUAUCUGUGGAUUAUAGAAGUAUCUAUGUGGCCAUAUUUUAUAGCCAUUCAUGGCCUAGCAGGUCUACUGGGGUGAUGCUGCGUGCAAUCUAAUCGCACCAUAGCAAUAACAUCGGCAUGUGGACAUUGCGGUGCCUGGACUGCGUCUGUAAGAAAUAGAAUUUACUGUGUAUGACUGUAGAAAUCAUGAAAUCACCACUGUGUUAAAGAUAAUCUAAUUAGAGUGAGAUCAUAUAUUUUAACUCCCACCAAUCUUUGGCAUACUGGAAUAUGUAUGUCCUGGUUCUGUCCUAAAGUUGGAGCCCUAAAGUUGGAACACUGGCUUUAGACCUGACACUAGCAUAUUAUCCCUAACCCUGACACUAGCACACUAGCCCUAGACCUGUCACCUUGUAGCAGGUACUGGUGGUAAAUAAUCAUUGUGGUGGAGACAUUUAUAAGCCACUCUGCCUUGGCCCAUGGUUUAUGUCUACUGAAUGAUCAAGUGGUGGUAUUUUCCUAUAUUGUUAAGUAUAUUUCUCUAA